rnacentral:rRNA from 1 species
UGAACGCUGGCGGCAGGCCUAACACAUGCAAGUCGAACGGUAACAGGAAGAAGCUUGCUUCUUUGCUGACGAGUGGCGGACGGGUGAGUAAUGUCUGGGAAACUGCCUGAUGGAGGGGGAUAACUACUGGAAACGGUAGCUAAUACCGCAUAACGUCGCAAGACCAAAGAGGGGGACCUUCGGGCCUCUUGCCAUCGGAUGUGCCCAGAUGGGAUUAGCUUGUUGGUGGGGUAACGGCUCACCAAGGCGACGAUCCCUAGCUGGUCUGAGAGGAUGACCAGCCACACUGGAACUGAGACACGGUCCAGACUCCUACGGGAGGCAGCAGUGGGGAAUAUUGCACAAUGGGCGCAAGCCUGAUGCAGCCAUGCCGCGUGUAUGAAGAAGGCCUUCGGGUUGUAAAGUACUUUCAGCGGGGAGGAAGGGAGUAAAGUUAAUACCUUUGCUCAUUGACGUUACCCGCAGAAGAAGCACCGGCUAACUCCGUGCCAGCAGCCGCGGUAAUACGGAGGGUGCAAGCGUUAAUCGGAAUUACUGGGCGUAAAGCGCACGCAGGCGGUUUGUUAAGUCAGAUGUGAAAUCCCCGGGCUCAACCUGGGAACUGCAUCUGAUACUGGCAAGCUUGAGUCUCGUAGAGGGGGGUAGAAUUCCAGGUGUAGCGGUGAAAUGCGUAGAGAUCUGGAGGAAUACCGGUGGCGAAGGCGGCCCCCCUGGACGAAGACUGACGCUCAGGUGCGAAAGCGUGGGGGAGCAAAACAGGAUUAGAUACCCUGGUAGUCCACGCCGUAAACGAUGUCGACUUGGAGGUUGUGCCCUUGAGGCGUGGCUUCCGGAGCUAACGCGUUAAGUCGACCGCCUGGGGAGUACGGCCGCAAGGUUAAAACUCAAAUGAAUUGACGGGGGCCCGCACAAGCGGUGGAGCAUGUGGUUUAAUUCGAUGCAACGCGAAGAACCUUACCUGGUCUUGACAUCCACAGAACUUUCCAGAGAUGGAUUGGUGCCUUCGGGAACUGUGAGACAGGUGCUGCAUGGCUGUCGUCAGCUCGUGUUGUGAAAUGUUGGGUUAAGUCCCGCAACGAGCGCAACCCUUAUCCUUUGUUGCCAGCGGUCCGGCCGGGAACUCAAAGGAGACUGCCAGUGAUAAACUGGAGGAAGGUGGGGAUGACGUCAAGUCAUCAUGGCCCUUACGACCAGGGCUACACACGUGCUACAAUGGCGCAUACAAAGAGAAGCGACCUCGCGAGAGCAAGCGGACCUCAUAAAGUGCGUCGUAGUCCGGAUUGGAGUCUGCAACUCGACUCCAUGAAGUCGGAAUCGCUAGUAAUCGUGGAUCAGAAUGCCACGGUGAAUACGUUCCCGGGCCUUGUACACACCGCCCGUCACACCAUGGGAGUGGGUUGCAAAAGAAGUAGGUAGCUUAACCUUCGGGAGGGCGCUUACCACUUUGUGAUUCAUGACUGGGGUGAAGUC